CGAGGUUGAUGUUGGAUGGUAGGACCGGGUAGGUAGGACCAGUGAACUGGUAGGACCCAUUACCUCUGUCACUCAUCACUGAAGUGCGGGGUUGAGUAACUGGUGAUUGCUACUAUGUUGACCAGAUGUAGUCUCUCAUCCCUUGAUAGAAAGAUAUACCUUUUUAACCUUCCACGGAGGCAUGUAAAAGCAUCCAGAAAACUUGCUGCAUCAGCAACUGGGUAUUGUGUCAACCUUGUCAGGCAAUAUGAUUUUGAAAAUUACCUUUGCUGUCUUUUGGUUAACAAGCAGAGACGUCCAGCCAUAUUUGCCAUCAGGGCUUUCAAUGUAGAGAUAGCAAAAAUAUGUGAUUCUACUACUGUUGAAACAAUUGGUAAAAUGAAGAUACAAUUCUGGAGAGAUACUCUAGAUAGUAUUUUUACAAAGGGAAAUUGCCCUGAUCACCCUGUUUCAAAAAUGCUUCAAAAUGCUGUUGAAGAUUAUAAUCUGUCAAAACAUUGGUUCACCAGAAUACUAGAUGGUCGGGAGGAAAAUUUACAUGACAAUCCAUUUAGUAACAUUGAAGAUCUUGAAAAUUAUGCAGAAAAAACAAUUUCCUCAAUUUUGUAUUUGACACUUGAAGGAUUAGGUGUGAAAGAUACGAAUGCAGAUCAUUGCGCAAGUCAUUUAGGAAAGGCCAUUGGUAUCGUGACUUUAUUACGUUCAACGCUAUAUCAUGCAAAGUCAAGACGAGUGUUGUGGCCAAGCGAUGUCCUAAUACAGCAACAACUUUCUCAAGAAGAUGUUCUUCGUGGCAAGAAUCUUCCCGCAAUCAAAGAAGCCACAUAUCAGUUGGCCAGUCGAGCGCAUGUGCAUCUAAAUAAAGCUAGAGCACUCAGUAGUGGUGUUCCAAAAUUGGGAUUUCGAAGUUUUCUUCCAGCGGUAUCAUGCAACAGUUUCUUGGAAAGCUUACAGCAAGCGGACUUUGAAAUAUUCGAUUCCAAACUACAACAAAGAAACAAUCUUCUUCCAAUAUUACUUCUUCGAGCAAUGUGGAGGGGAACGUUCUAAAAAGAUUUGUAUAAAGAUCUUUCAUGCUCCAUUGUCAGAGCUUUUGUCAGAGCUUUUGUCAGAGCUGUUAUGGUCCAACAUGUCUACAAUAUGAGGCUUGCCAUCAAAGUUUGAAGUAGGCAUGAAUUGCACAACCUUCACUGGUUUCAAUUGUUUGUUGGAUAUCAUAUGAUAUGGAGAAUGAGUUGCAAUUACAACCAAACAAUUACAGUUAAAUCUAUGGAUUUGGCAAAAUGGCCUAGCUCUUACCCUCACAAAUCCUUCUUCAAGACAAGGAACACAUGUUGAGGAUUCCACCCUGGUGAAUAUUAAACAGAUAGCGAUUCAGAAGUUGUACUAGAUUCUGGAGAUCUGCAUGGUAAUGCUCAGACUUGAUCAUCACAAUGAAUCUGGAACUGUUUUGGGAUAAUUCUCAGUCAUACUCCAGAAACAGUUCCUUGAUGCGCUGAAUAUAACCUCGCUAUCUCCAGCUCUCUGCCACAACUUUGGAAUGGUCAUAAAAGCA
rnacentral:misc_RNA from 1 species